CCUGGGUGUUGGGUGUCUGAGGUAUUCAGAUCGGAUUUUCAAUUUCUCUCCAUUGCUCCCCUUUCUUUCUUACAACCCAUCCUAAUUUUAGGACAAGGCUUUGGGAUUUAAGGCAAAGCUUUAUCUUGUCCUAACAAGGGUUGUGAGAGUCCAAAAGAAAAAAAUUAAAAAUUCAGAGGAGGUUCUAAGAGGGUGAAGUCAGGUUCUUGGAG
rnacentral:lncRNA from 1 species